GAUGAACGCUGGCGGCGUGCCUAAUACAUGCAAGUCGAGCGAACGGACGAGAAGCUUGCUUCUCUGCUGUUAGCGGCGGACGGGUGAGUAACACGUGGAUAACCUUCCUAUAAGACUGGGAUAACUUCGGGAAACCGGAGCUACUACUGGAUAAUAUUUUGAACCGCAUGGUUCAAAAGUGAAAGACGGUCUUGCUGUCACUUAUAGAUGGAUCCGCGCUGCAUUGGCUAGUUGGUAAGGUAACGGCUUACCAAGGCAACGAUGCAUAGCCGACCUGAGAGGGUGACCGGCCACACUGGAACUGAGCCACGGUCCGACCUCCUACGGGAGGCAGCAGUAGGGAAUCUUCCGCAAUGGGCGAAAGCCUGACGGAGCAACGCCGCGUGAGGGAUGAAGGUCUUCGGAUCUUAAAACUCUGUUAUUAGGGAAGAACAUAUGUGUAAGUAACUGUGCACAUCUUGACGGUACCUAAUCAGAAAGCCACGGCUAACUACGUG
rnacentral:rRNA from 1 species